rnacentral:rRNA from 1 species
CCAAUAGCGUAUAUUAAAGUUGUUGCAGUUAAAAAGCUCGUAGUUGAAUUUCGGGGUUAGUAGAUUGGUCAUGCCUCUGGUAUGCACUGGUCUCACUGAUUCCUCCUUCCUGAUGAACCGUAAUGCCAUUAAUUUGGUGUUGCGGGGAAUUUGGACUGUUACUUUGAAAAAAUUAGAGUGUUUAAAGCAAGCUAACGCUUGAAUACAUUAGCAUGGAAUAAUGAAAUAGGACGUUCGAUCCUAUUUUGUUGGUUUCUAGGAUUGACGUAAUGAUUAAUAGGGAUAGUUGGGGGCAUUAGUAUUCAAUUGUCAGAGGUGAAAUUCUUGGAUUUAUUGAAGACUAACUAAUGCGAAAGCAUUUGCCAAGGAUGUUUUCAUUAAUCAAGAACGAAAGUUAGGGGAUCGAAGACGAUCAGAUACCGUCGUAGUCUUAACCAUAAACUAUGCCAACUAGGGAUCGUAUGAUGUUAAUUUUUUAAUGACUCAUUCGGCGCCUUACG